rnacentral:lncRNA from 1 species
UCUACUCUCCUUUCACAAGCAACACAUGAAUGGCCUAAGAAUCAUUCAAGGAGUUAAUAACCAUAGGUUGACUAGGACAGAUACCAUGUUCUAGGACUUCUGUGAUUUUCAUAUUCGCAAGGAGCUUAAUGACUCUUGUAUGCUUUAUUCUAAGUAGAUACCAUGCUUAGGUUGCAUAUUAGAGAUCACGUGUUGUGUAGAUACCAUGCAUAAUCACAUG